rnacentral:tRNA from 1 species
UCCCGGUUGGUGUAACUGGCAGCACUGCGGACUUUGACUCCGUCAACCCAGGUUCGAACCCUGGACCGGGAG